UGUUAUAUUUUAUUUAUAUAUUAUAUAGUAUUAUAUACUAAAAAUUGUUUACUGCACAGAACAUUUUAUAAGGGCUGGGGGGGGGGGUCGAAGAAUAAAUAUGCCAUGGUAGCCAGAGAGUGCGCACAGGUUUAUUCUUCUUAGUCUGUGAAGAAUGACUGAAAUAGAAACACUGAUCAGCAAUGGCCACUAAAAUCAGAAACAUGAGAGAGAACCAGACACUGUGUGUCCCUGAAGGGGGGCCACCACACUAGCUAUACAGCAAUGUCGCCCCAAAUCCCUAAAACCACCAAGCCCAAACAAACACAAAACUAACCUCUGGAUCCAGUUGCCAGUCUGUAGGAAGUGUAAACAACCGAAGAAUGCAUAAAGUGGGAAAUACAAUCUGCAAAAUCUUGCAGUGGGAAGUGCUUUAGGACAAACAACCCGAUCCCUUCCAUAGAUAAGCCACAAGGGAGGAAAAACUUAAGACACUUAAAAGGCAUAUUCAUCAAUUCCAAUUUGUGAACCUUAUUUGGAUCCUGAUUUACACAAAUAAACAAAAACUACUAAAAAAAAACUAUGACAUUUAUGAAUCCACUGAAAAUGUAUCUACCAACUGGUAUGUUAAGAAGGAGUCCAGCUGGAGGCAGCGGCACACACCUGUAGUCCCGUCUACUCAGCCGGGUGAGACAGGAGGAUCACCUGAGGUCAGGGCUGUGGUGUGCUAAGAUUAUGCCUGUGAAUAGCCACUGCAUUCAAACCUGGGCAACAUAGCAAGACUCCCUUCUCUAAAACAUAAAAAUACUUUUUAAAAAAUAGUCCAUAUCUUUUAAAGCUACAUACUAAAAUAUGGACAGACGAAAUAAUGUUACCUGGGAUUUCUUUCAAAACAGGGCAGGACUUAUGGGGUGAAGUGGAUAGGAUACACAGAACGGGGUAGCCAUGAGCGGGCAAUUGUUGAAGCUCAUGUUACAGUACUCUGUCUUCCUUCUGUAUAUAUUUAUACUCUUCCACCAAAAAAGGCCGAAUGCAGACUUCACAUCCCGGUGUAAGAAGUUCCUGUACACACAAACACAGCCCAUACUCCAGCUAUCCCGAGGCGUCUAUGCUGUUCCCUUCCCAAACUAAGCCAUGCACCCUCCAGCCUACCUGACUUUGCAUGGGUACUAUUUUCCAUCCAGAGGAUAUCCUCUCAUCUCUGUCUGUCCACCCUCUCCCCCAACUCCAGCUACAGAAGUCCUACUGGUCUCUCAAGGCCCAGCUUAAGUCGUACCUGCUUGGCAAGGUUUCCCCACAUUCCCUUCCCUGUUUAUCUAUGAACUGCCUCUGUGCUAUUACUUUUAGUGGAAAAAAAACACAAUUACAUUUACACCAACCUAAUAAAGCUGACUGUCCAGCUAUAAAAUAUAGCUAGCUAUCCAAAUAUAUUUUCAGCUACGAGAGGGCAAAAACCACAUAUGAUCUCUUUAUUCCCAAGUAUCCCUUGCCUGUUGUACGUAAUUAAGUACUACUGCAUAAAAUAGAUCUGAUUUAUGUCAUUACCUAAAAUAACUCCUCAAAAACUUUUAAUUGAAAACCUUUAAAAAUAUGUAUUUUGUUUAUUGAAAUGGGUAAUGUGUUGUUUUAAAGUAUUAAAAAGGCAGUGAGAAGCCCCCUCACACCCUAUCUGCCCAGCUCACUUCCCUCCCAACAUGUAAUCACUCAUUAGUUUUUCGUUUACCUUUCCAGAGAUUUUUAAAUGCACAUUCAAGUCAAUAUAAAUAUAUUCUUCCUUCCUCCUCUACACAAAUGGGUAGCAUAACAUAUGUACUGCUAAAUACCAUGCGUUUCUUUUUUUACCUAAUAAAUGCCUUGAAAAUUUUUCUAUAAGAACGUACAUGUAAAGAAGUUCCUUGUUUUUAUUAUUUUUUUUACAGCUGCACUUUCUCACUACAUGGGACGUUGCAUUGUUUUUAAUCAGAACCCUCUUGAUUGAUGGUUCGGCUGUUUCUCAUCCUUUACUAUUAAAAGCAGUGGCACAAUGAGUGAAACUGCCAAUAGGUCAUUUCUUUUUUUUUGAGACGGAGUUUCGCUCUUGUUACCCAGGCUGGAGUGCAAUGGCGUGAUCUCGGCUCACCGCAACCUCCGCCUCCUGGGUUCAGGCAAUUCUCCUGCCUCAGCCUCCUGAGUAGCUGGGAUUACAGGCACACGCCACCAUGCCCAGCUAAUUUUUGUAUUUUUAGUAGAGACGGGGUUUCACCAUGUUGACCAGGAUGGUCUCGAUCUCUUGACCUCGUGAUCCACCCGCCUCGGCCUCCCAAAGUGCUGGGAUUACAGGCUUGAGCCACCGCGCCCGGCCUGCCAAUAGGUCAUUUCACGUGUGUUUCAAUACACCUGUGGUGCAGCUCCUUAUUUUCAUAUUGUGUAUUUGUGCUGUUUUUCUUGACCACGUUAGCCUUUGAUUUUCUGUAUCAAUUCUCUCUAUGCUGCUUUCUAACUCAUUAAAUGCAAUUUUUACCAACAUUAAUUCCUUUCUUCUGCUUUCCCUUCAGUUUAAUUUACUGUUCUUUUUCUACCUUCUUAAAUUAGUCCAUGAUGUACAGCAUGAAUCCCAACAGUCUGUAUCCUAAUUCAGAAGGAGUCCUGAGCGGGUCCUGGUCCCUCGAUGCCGCUACUUCACGAGGACACAUAAACAAAGGACAGAGGUUAUAGGCAAUAAUGAUGAAGAAACCAGCCAGAGGAAGCCAGACCUCUUGAAUCCUGUCUUCUUCACCGAAACACAAAUCCUCCCUUCUUCCCAAAGCCCUGAACUGUGCGUCUUGGAGUCACAGAACCACCUGGUAUCUGAAUGUCUUCAAUUUAGCACUCUACUGUGCAGAAGAGACUGCACCCCAAUCUUGGUACGCCUAACUUAUUCCAGGUGUGUCAAACAUUCCUUAGGGAUUAUGAGUUCACGCCUUUACAUGCUCCAGCUCUGGAAAAACAUAAAGCUGAAUUUCUACCUCAUUCUUUUGCAUGAACAUUCAAGAUGGGAAAAAAAAUGUAAAAGUAAAAAACAAAAUUGCAAAUGUUCUAAGGAAAAAGCAGAGAUGAAUAUUCUUGUAGUAAUAAAGUGAAGAAGGCUUUUCUAAGCAUGGCAUAAAACUCUGAGCCUGAGAAAUAAAGAAUUUAGUAAUUUUUCAAAGUUUACACUUAUAAGCAAAAUUGUAAGACAAAAAGCGAGCUGGGAAAACCUAACUGCUGCAUAUACUACAAAGGGUUAAUAUCCUUCAACCACAGGGAUUGCUCCCAUUGCACGGCACAGGGCAUGAUACUGUCCACUGCCUCAAAGGAUGGCUUUAUUCAGUGGGUCCUUCAAGCUGGUGGGGCCCGAGGUUCCAGCUGGGUCUGGUGCAUGCCUGGUUGCCUCUCCAUCAUCAGCCUGCUCACCAUACUAGGGCUAGAUAACCCGCAGGUCAAUUUCACCCAAUAGCCAACGACGUGAGGAGUUUUCUAGAUAUGAGAAGUUUCAAGGGUUAUUAAAAGUAAAAUAUUUUGAACAUCUCACCACAGCCAGUUAUUUAAAGAACUAAAACUUGUUAUAACCACGUCUAAGCAAAGAAAUAUUUCCAUUUAUUUUGACCCUGUAUCCUUGAGAGUGAAAGUCCUGUGAGAAACAUAGAGAAAGGAAAACAUAAACUCAGAAGCUCAGUGACAAUGUCCGACAUUUGUAUACCAGGGUGUGCCACAUCGUUAUGUCAAGGCAAGAUUUCUUCCCUCUGGUUCUACUGAGAUUGUCAGUUUCCCUUCCUGCCUGUACACAGAGGGCCACAGCCAAAGGGCCAGUCAAAUGCUGGUGAGUGGUGCCAUCUGGUGUUCAGUUAGAGAUCUGCACACAAAUGCAGCUGCACUGCAAGGGAUGAAACAGGGGCAUCUUUGCCUCAGUUUAUACCUCCCUUCCAUUACUCUGUUGCUCCUGGUUACGUUAAGCCAAAAAGUAUUAAUUAAAGGAUGUAAAAUACUUAAUUCUUAAGAAGAAAACCUAGACUGUGUGAGGGAAAGGCUGUGCUCCCACAGGUCACUCUCCAAGGGUUCUGGCCAAGCAUCCUUAGUGCUCACUAAGGAAGCCGUCAUCCAUAUACAGACUUAUCUACUUCUGUUUAAAUGCCCAGUCCAUACCACCUAUCAGCGUACCUGGUUUUCUGCUGUUAUUGUUUUUUAAUUUGUUGUGUGUUGAGAACUGCCUUUUACUUUUAUUUGUCCUAAGACAAUCUUUUUUUUUUUUUUUUUUUGAGACUGACUCCUGCUUUCUCAUCCAGGUUGGAGUGAAGUGAUGUGAUUUUGGCUCACUGAAACCUCCGCUUCCCAGGCUCGAAGUGAUUCUCCUAACUCCUGAGUAGCUGGGAUCACAGGCAACUGCUACCACACCCAGCUAUUUUUUGUAUUUUUAGUAGAGACAGGGUUUCACCAUGUUGGCCAGGCUGGUCUUGAACUCCUGACCUCAAGUGAUCUGCCUGCCUUGUCCUCCCAAAGUGCUGGGAUUACAGGUGUGAGCCACAGAGCCUGACCCUAAGACAACCUUUUUAAAGCUCCAGUAAACACCUCCUGGUAAUAGUGUUCUGGAUUUAGGCUAAGAGAAAUACACUUAAUAUACUUUUUUGCUCUAUUUUAAAAUAAUGAUCCCCUCUCAGUCUCAUCUAUCUAGUACAAAGAAUGUUAACAGCAAGUUCUCAAAAUGCUGACUUCAGUCAGACUUUUCUUCAGAGCUGCACACGCAUUUUUCUAGCUGGUUUCACAUGAAAACAGGGUACAAUUUGGCCAGGUGUGGUGGCUCACACCUAUAAUCCCAGUACUUUGGGAGGCUGAGGGAGGCAGACCACUUGAGGCUAGGAGUUCAAGACCAGCCUGGCCAACAUGGCAAAACCCAGUCUCUACUAAAAAUACAAAAAUUAGCUGGGCAUCAUGAAACACACCUGUAAUCCCAGCUGCUCGGGAGACUGAGACAUGAGAAUCACCAGAACCUGGGAGGCAGAGGUCACAGUGAGCCGAGAUUGUGCCAAUGCACUCCAUCUUGGGUGACACAGCAAGACUCUGUCUCAAAAAAAAAAAAAACAAGAUAUGAUUAGUCCAAAGCUGUAUGUGAUGGCCACACAUCCCAAUACUCUACCAACAUUACCUUUCUUCCUCGUCCUGCUUAAUGUAAACACAUUACCCAGAAGCUCCACCUUAGUGGAGGCAGAUCCAAGAUGACUGACUAGGAGCAGCUCUGAAGUGCAGUUCCCAGCGAGAACAAUGCAGAGGGAGAUGAUCACCGCAUUUCCAAACAACUUAUUACUGCCCACAGACCAGGAGACUCCCGGGCUGAAAAGAGCCACGAGUUUCCAGCACAGCUGUUUCAGCCGACGCAGCAGGUCUCCACACAAAAACUCACACAAAUCUGGGUGGCUGUUCCAACUGGUGCCUGGAAUGCCUGGGAGACAGAGCCACCCCUUCAACUGAAAAAAAGGGGGCUGAAACACAGAGCCAGGUGAUCUGGCAAAGCAGGUCCCACCCCCACAAGACUAGCAGUCUGAAACACUCUGGAUUGAGAGUUUCACAGCUAGCACAGCUGGACCUGGGACAGUCCAGCUCUGGUGGGGGAAGGGCGUCUGCCAUUACUGAGGCAGAUCACCAUUACCGAGGAAGUCCACUAUUACUGAGGCAGUGUGCCAUUACCAAGGUAAUUCGCCAUUACAGAGGCAGUCCACCAUUACCAAGGCAGUUCUAACUAUACCUCUAUAAACAAAACCACAAGGAAGUUCACCCAGCAGCUAGGUAGAGCCCACAGCAGCUCAGCAAUGCCUCUGCUGGCAGACUGUGACUGGGCUACCUCCUUGCUGGGCAGAGCAGCUCUGAAAAAAGGAAGCAGCACGUCAGGAACUUAUAAAGCCCCACCUUCCCAGAACAGAGCACCUGGGAAACAAAGGCGGUUAUGAGUUUCACUGCAGCAAACUUAAAUUUACCUGCCCAGCAACUCUAAACAGAACAACAGAGCUCACAGCUCAGCACUUGAGCUCCUAUAAGGGACAGACCGUCUCCUCAGGCAGCUCCCUGACCCCUGUAUAUCCAAAGAGACACCUCAUAAAGAAGAGUUCAGGCUGCAAUCUGGCAGGUAUCCUUCUGGGACAAAGAUAACAGAAGAAGAAACUGGCAACAACCCUUACUGUUCUGCAGCUGCUGCAGGUGAUCCCCAGGCAAGCAGGGUCUGGAGUGGACCUCAGCAGUCCUACAGCAGAGAUGCCUGACUAUUAGAAGGAAACUAAGAAAGAGAAAGAAAUAACUUCACGCCAACAAAAAGGACAUCUACUCAGAGACCCCAUCUGAAAGUCACCAACUACAAAGAACACAGGUAGAUAAAUCCACAAAGAUAGGAAGAAACCACUUAAAAAGGAUGAAACACCCAAAACCAGAACAAAUCUCCUUCUCCAAGGGAUCACAACUCCUCACCAGCAAGGGAACAAAGCUGGAUGGAGAAUGAGUCUGAUGAACAGACAGAAACAGGAUUCAGAAGGGGUAAUAACAAACUUCUCUGAGCUAAAAGAACAUGUUCCAACCCAAUGCAAAGAAACUAAGAACCUUGAAAAAAUGUUUGACAAAAUGCUAACAAGAAUAAACAAUUUAGAGAGGAAUGUAAGUGAAUUGAUGGAGCUGAAAAACACAAUACGAGAACUUUGUGAAGGAUACACAAGUUUCAACAGCCAAACUGACCAAGCAGAAGAAAGGAUAUCACAGACUGAAGAUCAACUCAAUGAAAUAAAAGAAGGCAAGAUUAGAGAAAAAAAAGAGUGAAAAGAAAUGAACAAAGCCUCCAAGAAAUAUGGGAUUAUGUGAAAAGAACUAAUCUAUGUUUGAUAGGUGUAGCUGAAUGUGACGGAGAGAAUGAAUCCAGGCUGGAAAACACUCUUCAGGAUAUAAUCCAGGAGAACUUCCCCAACCUAGCAAGCCAGGCCAAUAUUCAAGUCCAGGAAAUACAGAGAACACCACAAAGAUAUUCCUCAAGAAGAGCAACCCAAGACACAUAAUCGUCAAAUUCACCAGGGUUGAAAUGAAGAAAAAAAUGCUAAGGGCAACCAGAGAGACAGGUCGGGUUACCCACAAAGGGAAGCCCAUCAGACUCACAGCAGAUCUCUCAGCAGAAACCCUACAAGCCAGAGGAGAGUGGGGACCAAUAUUCAACAUCCUUAAAGAAGGGAACCUUCAACCUAGAAUUUCAUAUCCAACCAAACUAAGCUUCAUAAGCGAAGGAAAAAUAAAAUCCUUUAAGAACAGGAAAGUGCUGAGAGAUUGUGUCACCACCAGGCCUGCCUUACAAGAGCUCCUGAAAGAAGCACUAAACACAGAAAGGAACAACCAGUAUCAGCCACUGUAAAAACGUACCAAUUGGUAAAGAGGAUCGACUCAAUGAAGAAACUGCAUCAACUAACGGGCAAAACAGCCAGCUAGCAUCAAAAUGGCAGGAUCAAAUUCACACAUAACAAUAUUAACCCUAAAUGUAAAUGGGCUAAACACCCCAUUCAAAAGACACAGACUGCCAAAUGGAUAAAAAGUCAAAAUCCAUUGCUGUGCUAUAUCCAGCAAACCCAUCUCACAUGCAAGGACACACAUAGGGUGUGUCCCUUGUGUGUCCUUGAAUAUUAGCCUGGCUUGCUAGGUUGGGGAAGUUCUCCUGGAUUAUAUCCUGAAGAGUGUUUUCCAGCCUGGAUUCAUUCUCUCUGUGACAUUUAGGUACAUCUAUCAAAUAAAGGGAUGGAGGAAGAUUUACCAAACAAAUGGAGAGCAAACAAAAAAGCCAGAGUUAGAAUCCUAGUCUCUGAUAAAAUAGACUUUAAACCAACAAAGAUCAAAAGAGACAAAGAAGGACAUUACAUAAUAGUAAAAGGAUCAAUGCAACAAGAAGAGCUAACGAUCCGAAAUAUAUACGCACCCAAUACAGGAGCACCCAGAUAUAUAAAGCAAGUUCUUAACAACCUACCAAAGAGACUUAGACUCCCAAACCAUAACAGUGGGAGACUUUAACACUCCACUGUCCAUAUUAGACAGAACAAUGAGACAGAAAAUUAACAAGGAUAUCCAGGACUUGAACUCAGACCUGGACCAAGCUAACCUAACAGAUAUUUAGAGAACUCUCCACCCCAAAUCCAUAGAAUAUACAUUCUUCUCAGCACCACAUCACGCCAACUCUAAAACUGACCACAUAAUUGGAAGUAAAUCACUCCUCUACAAAUGCUAAAGAAUAGAAAUCAUAACAAACAGUCUCUCAGACCACAGUGCAAUAAAGUUAGAACUCAGAAUUCAGAAACUAACUCUGAACCGCACAACUUUAUGGAAACUGAACAGCUGGCUCUUGAAUGUUGACUGGAUAAACAAUGAAAUGAAGGCAGAAAUAAAGAUGUUCUUCGAAACCAACAAGAACAAAGACACAACGUACCAGAAUCUCUGGGACACAUUCAAAGCAGUGUCUAGAGGAAAAUUUAUAGCAAUAAAUGCCCACACGAGAAGCAAGGAAAGAUCUAAAAUCGACACCCUAUCAUCAAAAUUGAAAGAGCUAGAGGAGCAAGAUCAAAAACACUCAAAAGCUAGUAGAAAACAAGAAAUAACUAAGAUCAGAGCAGAACUGAAGGAUAUAGAGACAUAAAAAACCCUUCAAAAAAAUCAGUAAAUCGAGGAGCUGAUUUUUUGAAAAGAUCAACAAAAUAGAGAGACCGCUAGAUGGAUUAAUAAAAAAGAAAAGAGAGAAGAAUCAAAUAGAUGCAAUAAAAAACGAUAAAGGGGACAUCACCACUGAUUCCACAGAAAUACAAACUACCAUCAGAGAUUACUACAAACAACUCGAUGCACAUAAAUCAGUAAACCUGGAAGAAAUGGAUAAAUUCCUGGACACUUGCACCCUCCCAAGCCUAAACCAGGAAGAAGCUGAAACCCUGAAUAGACCAAUAAUAAGGGCUGAAGUUGAGGCAGCAAUUAAUAGCCUACCAACUUAAAAAAGCCCAGGUCCAGAUGGAUUCACAGCUGUAUUCUACCAGACAUACAAAGAGGAGCUGGUACCACUCCUUCUGAAACUAUUCCAAACAAUCUAAAAAGAGGGAAUCCUUCCCAAAUCAUUUUAUGACACCAACAUCAUCCUGAUACCAAAACCCAGCAGAGACUCAACAAAAAAAGAAAACUUCAGGCCAAUAUCCAUGAUGAACAUAGAUGCAAAAAUCUUCAGUAAAACACUGGCAAGCCGAUUGCAACAGCACAUCAAAAAGCUUAUCCAUCACAAUCAGGCAGGUUUCAUCCCGGGGAUGCAAGGCUGGUUCAACAUAUGCAAGUCUGUAAACAUAAUUCACCACAUAAACAGAACCAAAAACAAAAACCACGAUUAUCUCAAUAGGUGCAGAGAAGGCCUUCGACAAAAUUCAACAGCCCUUUAUGCUGAAAGCUCUCGAUAAACUAGGUAUUGAUGGAACAUAUCUCAAAAUAGUAAAAGCUAUUUACGACAAACCCAUAGCCAAUAUUAUACUGAAUGGGCAAAAACUGGAAGCAUUCCCUUUGAAAUCUGGCACUAAACAAGGAUGCCCUCUCUCACCACUCCUAUUCAAUAUAGUAUUGGAAGUUCUAGCUGCUGCAAUUAGGCAGGAAAAAGAAAUAAAGGUUAUUCAAUUAGGAAAGGAGCGAGUCUAGUUGUCUCUAUUUGCAGACAACAUGAUUGUAUAUCUAGAAGACCCCAUCGUCUCAGCCCAAAAUCUCCUGAAACUGAUAAGCAACUUCAGCAAAGUCUCAGGAUACAAAAUCAAUGUGCAGAAAUCACAAGCAUUCCUAUACACCAGUAACAGACUUAAAGAGCGCCAAAUCAAGAACGAGCUGCCAUUCACAAUUGCUACAAAGAGAAUAAAAUACCUAGGAAUACAAAUAACAAGGAAUGUAAAGGACCUCUUCAAGGAGAACUACAAACCACUGCUUAAGAAAAGAAGAGAGGACACAAACAGAUAGAAAGACAUUCUAUGCUCAUGGUUAGGAAGAAUCAAUAUCAUGAAAAUGACCAUACUACCCAAAGUAAUUUACAGAUUCAAGGCUACCCCCAUCAAGCUACCUAUGACCCUCUUCACAGAACUGGAAAAAAACCACCUUAAUCUUUAUAGGGAACCAAGAGAGGUAGUGGAGGAAACACUACACAUUUACAACCAUCUGAUCUCUGACAAACCUGACAAAAACAAGCAAUUGGGAAAGGAUUCCCUGUUUAAUAAAUGGUGUUGGGAAAACUGGCUAGCCAUGUGCAGAAAACAGAAACUGGACCCCCUUCCUGACACUACGCUAAAAUCUAACUCCAGAUAGAUUAAAGACUUAAACAUAAGACCUAACAUCCUAAAAACCCUACAAGAAAAUCUAGGCAAAACCAUUCAGGACAUGGGCAUAGCCGGCUCUUCAUGACUAAAACACCAAAAGCAUUGGCAACAAAAGCCAAAAUAGACAAAUGGGAUCUAAUUAAACUCCAGAGCUUCUGCACAGCAAAAGAAACCGUCAUUAGAGUGAACCAGCAACCAAGAGAAUGGGAAAAAAUUUUGCAAUCAACCCAUCUUUCAAAGGGCUAAUAUCCAGAAUCUACAAAGAACUAAAACAGAUUUACAAGAAAAAAACAAACAAACUCAUUCAAAAGUGACAAAGGAUAUGAACAGACACUUUACAAAAGAAGACAUUUAUGAGGCCAACAAACAUAUGAAAAAAUGCUCAUCAUCACUGGUCAUUAGAGAAAUGCAAAUGAAAACCACACUGAGAUACCAUCUCACGCCAGUUAGAAUGGCGAUCAUUAAAAAAUCUGGAGACAACAGAUGCUGGAGAGGAUGUGGAGACACAGGAAUACUUUUAAACUGCUGGUGGGAGUGUAAAUUAGUUCAACCAUUGUGGAAAACAGUGUGGCGAUUCCCCAAGGACCUAGAAGUAGAAAUUCCCUUUGACCCAGCAAUCCCAUUACUGGGCAUAUAUCCAAAGGAUUAUAAAUCGCUCUAUAAAGAUACGUGUACAUGUAUGUUCACUGUGGCACUAUUUACAAUAGCAAAGAACUGGAACCAACCCAAAUGCCCAUUGAUGAUAGACUGGACAAGGAAAAUGUGGCAUAUAUACACCAUGGAAUAUUAUGCAGCCAUAAAAAACAAUGAGCUUGUGUCCUUUGUAGGGACAUGGAUGAAUCUGGAAACCAUCGUUCUCAGCAAACUGGCACAAGAACAGAAAAUCAAACACCACAUGUUCUCACUCACAGGGAGGUGUUGAAUAAUGAGAACACAUGGACACAGGGAAGGGAGCAUCACAC